UACGGAGGAUGCGAGCGUUAUCCGGAUUUAUUGGGUUUAAAGGGUGCGUAGGCGGGAUUAUAAGUCAGUGGUGAAAACCUGCAGCUUAACUGUAGACUUGCCAUUGAUACUGUAGUUCUUGAGUGUGGUCAAGGCAGGCGGAAUGUGUAAAGUAGCGGUGAAAUGCUUAGAUAUUACACAGAACACCGAUUGCGAAGGCAGCUUGCUGGGCCAAUACUGACGCUGAGGCACGAAAGCGUGGGGAUCAAACAGGAUUAGAAACCCUUGUAGUCC
rnacentral:rRNA from 1 species